rnacentral:rRNA from 1 species
AUUGAACGCUGGCGGCAUGCUUUACACAUGCAAGUCGAACGGUAACAGGUUAAGCUGACGAGUGGCGAACGGGUGAGUAAUGCAGCGGAACGUGCCCGAUCGUGGGGGAUAACGCAGCGAAAGCUGCGCUAAUACCGCAUACGAUCUGAGGAUGAAAGCGGGGGACCGUAAGGCCUCGCGCGAUCGGAGCGGCCGAGGCCAGAUUAGGUAGUUGGUGGGGUAAAGGCUCACCAAGCCAACGAUCUGCAGCUGGUCUGAGAGGACGACCAGCCACACGGGGACUGGGACACGGCCGAGACUCCUACGGGAGGCAGCAGUGGGGAAUUUUGGACAAUGGGCGAAAGCCUGAUCCAGCAAUGCGGCGUGCAGGAAGAAGGCCUUCGGGUUGUAAACUGCUUUUGUACGGAGCGAAAAGGUUCCCUCUAAUACAGAGGGCUCAUGACGGUACCGUAAGAAUAAGCGCCGGCUAACUACGUGCCAGCCGCCGCGGUAACAC